GAACGGUAGCACAGAGAGCUUGCUCUUGCGGUGACGAGUGGCGGACGGGUGAGUAAUGUCUGGGAAACUGCCCGAUGGAGGGGGAUAACUACUGGAAACGGUAGCUAAUACCGCAUAACGUCUUCGGACCAAAGUGGGGGACCUUCGGGCCUCACACCAUCGGAUGUGCCCAGAUGGGAUUAGCUAGUACGUGGGGUAACGGCUCACCUAGGCGACGAUCCCUAGCUGGUCUGAGAGGAUGACCAGCCACACUGGAACUGAGACACGGUCCAGACUCCUACGGGAGGCAGCAGUGGGGAAUAUUGCACAAUGGGCGCAAGCCUGAUGCAGCCAUGCCGCGUGUAUCAAGAAGGCCUUCGGGUUGUAAAGUACUUUCACUGGGGAGGAACGCGAACAGGUUAAUAACCUUUUCGAUUGACGUUACCCGCAGAAUAAGCACCGGCUAACUCCGUG
rnacentral:rRNA from 1 species